rnacentral:rRNA from 1 species
UACGUAGGGUGCGAGCGUUAAUCGGAAUUACUGGGCGUAAAGCGUGCGCAGGCGGUUCGUUAAGUCAGCUGUGAAAGCCCCGGGCUCAACCUGGGAACUGCGGUUGAAACUGGCGAACUAGAAUCUGGCAGAGGGGGGGUGGAAUUCCACGUGUAGCAGUGAAAUGCGUAGAGAUGUGGAGGAACACCGAUGGCGAGGCAGCCCCCUGGGCUGAGAUUGACGCUCAGGCACGAAGCGUGGGGAGCAAACAGGA